rnacentral:pre_miRNA from 1 species
AGAGGGAUAGCUGGGUCAAAUGGUAUUCUAUUCCAAGUUUUCCAAGGAAUCUCCAUACUGCUUUCCAUAUUGGUUGCACCAAUUUGCAGUCCCACCAGCAGU